rnacentral:sRNA from 1 species
GCUUAAUUACUCUUAAUCUAUUUCAUUUUUGUAUUUAGUUCUUUAAGUAAAGUUGUUUAGCUUGUUUAGAUCUACAUUUGGUAUGAUUUCAGUAAUUUUUGGGUUUGUGUUCUUGAGAAUGUUGCUUGAGUAGUGAUUAGGGUUCUUGAGGAUGGAUUAGAUUAGGGUAAUCUCUAGGUUAGUCAGGUGGUUAAGAUUAGGUUAGAACCCUUCUGGAUUCGCUUGGCCCCUAUGCGGGUUUCGCUGGCUAAUGUGGAGAUUCGAUCAUAGACGUCCAGAGUCCAAAAGACGUUCAAAUGGAUGUCUGAUCUACGAAUUCCAGAGAUUUGUAGACUCGACCAAGACAUUGGCUUUUCUGCUUAUUGGCUUUGGUAGAUUGUUUCUUAAACCCUUCUCUGCUAUGUUUCAUCAACGACAGUUGAGAUUAGGAAGUGGUAGAGUUAUGGAGGUCUCUGUCACGACAAUGGAUUGACCCGGUUUUUGAAUCUAUCGUCAAGGGUAUCUACCUUUUACCUGUUAGCCACCUGAUGAACCCUAGAGUUGCCCUUAUCAAUGAACCCAUCCUUUGAACUUCUAUUAGAUUUAUAUGUAUCCUCUGUUGAUUGCACUUUUAUUUACCUGUUAUUUGUAUCCCCUGUUGAUUGCAUUUUAGUUACUUAAAUUCGUCACCUGUUGGUUCUACUCGACCCAAUGAUCGAGUAGGGCUUUUAAAGUUCUCAUUUUCGUUGUUUGAAUCCUGACCUAGGAUUGUUACUAGAAACCCACCAUCAUUAUAAUCUGGCUUGACUUAGUUGCUUCUGUACACAUCAUGAUUGCUAGCAAUAACAGUGGACUGGAUUGACACCCCCUAUAGCUGCAUCGACAUGUUAGUGUUUAAGGGGAAUCGAACUGAACCACACAUUCAACACAUAAGUAGGCCUAAAAAACCUACUUAUAAACAACAGCCUCACAUUUCAAUCUCUCCUUGCUGAAACAUAUAAAACAGUGUUACUAUUAUACCCCUCUU